CCUACGGGCGGCAGCAGUAGGGAAUAUUGCUCAAUGGGGGAAACCCUGAAGCAGCAACGCCGCGUGGAGGAUGACGGUUUUCGGAUUGUAAAAUCCUUUUGUUAGAGAAGAUAAUGACGGUAUCUAACGAAUAAGCAACGGCUAACACCGGGCAAGCAGCCGCGGUAAUACGGAGGGUGCAAGCGUUACUCGGAAUCACUGGGCGUAAAGAGCGCGUAGGCGGGAUAGCAAGUUAGAUGUGAAAUCCUAGGGCUUAACCAUAGAACUGCAUUUGAAACUGUUAUUCUAGAGUAUGGGAGAGGUAGGUGGAAUUCUUGGUGGAGGGGUAAAAACCGUGGAG
rnacentral:rRNA from 1 species